GUCCGGGAAGCCGGCAGCCGGCAGGCGAGGGCGGCGGCUGGGGCGGCAGGACCCCAGCGGCCAUUACGCGGCCGGGGCCUGGUGCUGCUCGCGCGCCCCCGCUGCCAGGCGGCGAAACGCGGGUGAUUCCUGCCAAAAAACGUGUGGUGCCCGGCGUACCACCCCCGACUGCGAGCUGAAAACGUGCCCGACCUCAGGGUAUAUUUUUUUUCAAACUAACUCCGCCUGUCCUUUAUUCCAGUAGAACUGAGGAGCAGGAUGGUGGAGGAGGGUGACAGGCAGAGAGUGACAGCAUCAGGAAGAGAGCACUAUAAAUAAAAAUGGCACUGAAUGGUUAGAUCCAAUUCUAAAAGAUUAUAAAAUUUGGACUAAAAUGAAGGAGUUUCUCCAAUGCAAUUGAAAACACCUUUACAAAUAGUUGCACUAGGUGCAGACUUACAAAAGGGUAACCGCUGACGCUGCUGUGAAGUAGCACUGAGGCGCUCCUGCUAUUUUUGGAGAUGUGCCUUGACUUGUUUUAUGUACCACGGGUCUCAGAAGAUGAAGAUGAAGAUCACUAUUUCAGACAAUGAAGAAAUCUCAUUGCCUUACAGAAGGCUUUUAAGCUAUCUGAAAGAAAACGUCAUUCUCACAUCCAGAGAGAGCGUCAACAAAGUCUACAGCCAGCCGAUUUCGACUCACGCUCGCUCUCGGCGCGGUCUGCGAGAAGGGACAGUAGCGCACGUGUCACCGCAAAAUUCACAGCGCUUUGAGAGCUACGGCAAGAAACAGCCACCUGCAAAAUCCAGCCGGGCUUCUUCCAAACCUCAGCUGUCCUGAGCUGCUGCGCGAUACCCCCG
rnacentral:lncRNA from 1 species